rnacentral:rRNA from 1 species
GAUGAACGCUGGCGGCGUGCCUAAUACAUGCAAGUCGAGCGAACGGACGAGAAGCUUGCUUUUCUGAUGUUAGCGGCGGACGGGUGAGUAACACGUGGAUAACCUACCUAUAAGACUGGGAUAACUUCGGGAAACCGGAGCUAAUACCGGAGAAUAUUUUGAACCGCAUGGUUCAUAAGUGAAAGACGGUCUUGCUGUCACUUAUAGAUGGAUCCGCGCUGCAUUAGCUAGUUGGUAAGGUAACGGCUUACCAAGGCAACGAUGCAUAGCCGACCUGAGAGGGUGAUCGGCCACACUGGAACUGAGACACGGUCCAGACUCCUACGGGAGGCAGCAGUAGGGAAUCUUCCGCAAUGGGCGAAAGCCUGACGGAGCAACGCCGCGUGAGUGAUGAAGGUCUUCGGAUCGUAAAACUCUGUUAUUAGGGAAGAACAUAUGUGUAAGUAACUGUGCACAUCUUGACGGUACCUAAUCAGAAAGCCACGGCUAACUACGUG